rnacentral:rRNA from 1 species
CAGUCGCCGCGGUAAUACGAAGGGUGCAAGCGUUAAUCGGAAUUACUGGGCGUAAAGCGUGCGUAGGCGGUUUGUUAAGUCUGUUGUGAAAUCCCCGGGCUCAACCUGGGAAUGGCAAUGGAUACUGGCAAGCUAGAGUGUGUCUGAGGAUGGUGGAAUUCCCGGUGUAGCGGUGAAAUGCGUAGAUAUGCGGAGGAACACCGAUGGCGAAGGCAGCCCCCUGGGCCAACACUGACGCUCAUGCACGAAAGCGUGGGGAGCAAACAGGAUUAGAUACCCCCGUAGUCCCUGUCUCUUAUAC